GAUGAACGCUGGCGGCGUGCCUAAUACAUGCAAGUCGAGCGAACAGACGAGGAGCUUGCUCCUCUGACGUUAGCGGCGGACGGGUGAGUAACACGUGGAUAACCUACCUAUAAGACUGGGAUAACUUCGGGAAACCGGAGCUAAUACCGGAUAAUAUAUUGAACCGCAUGGUUCAAUAGUGAAAGACGGUUUUGCUGUCACUUAUAGAUGGAUCCGCGCCGCAUUAGCUAGUUGGUAAGGUAACGGCUUACCAAGGCAACGAUGCGUAGCCGACCUGAGAGGGUGAUCGGCCACACUGGAACUGAGACACGGUCCAGACUCCUACGGGAGGCAGCAGUAGGGACUCUUCCGCAAUGGGCGAAAGCUUGACGGAGCAACGCCGCGUGAGUGAUGAAGGUCUUCGGAUCGUAAAACUCUGUUAUUAGGGAAGAACAAAUGUGUAAGUAACUAUGCACGUCUUGACGGUACCUAAUCAGAAAGCCACGGCUAACUACGUG
rnacentral:rRNA from 1 species